UACGAAGGGGGCGAGCGUUGUUCGGAUUCAUUGGGCGUAAAGGGUGCGUAGGUGGCGGGGUAAGUCAGGUGUGAAAUUUCGGAGCUUAACUCCGAAACUGCAUUUGAUACUGCCUUGCUUGAGGACUGGAGAGGAGACUGGAAUUCACGGUGUAGCAGUGAAAUGCGUAGAUAUCGUAAGGAAGACCAGUGGCGAAGGCGGGUCUCUGGACAGUUCCUGACGCUGAGGCACGAAGGCCAGGGGAGCAAACGGG
rnacentral:rRNA from 1 species